GAGUUUGAUUAUGGCUCAGACGAACGCUGGCGGCAUGGAUUAGGCAUGCAAGUCGAACGAAGCAGCAAUGCUUAGUGGCGCAAGGGUGAGGAACACGUGAGUGACCUACCCGCAAGUUUGGAACAGCUCCUGGAAACGGGAAUUAAUACCGGAUGUGAUCAAUGAGCUGCAUGGUUUAUUGAUUAAAGCAGCAAUGCGCUUGCGGAUGGGCUCGCGUCCCAUUAGCUAGUUGGUGAGGUAACGGCCCACCAAGGCCAUGAUGGGUAGCUGGUCUGAGAGGACGACCAGCCACACUGGGACUGAGAACUGCCCAGACUCCUACGGGAGGCUGCAGUCGAGAAUUUUGGGCAAUGGACGAAAGUCUGACCCAGCAAUGCCGCGUGCGGGAUGAAGGUCUUCGGAUUGUAAACCGCUGUUUGGAGGGACGAAAAUUGACGGUACUUCCAGAGGAAGCCACGGCUAACUACGUGCCAGCAGCCGC
rnacentral:rRNA from 1 species